CCUACGGGAGGCUGCAGUGGGGAAUUUUGGACAAUGGGCGAAAGCCUGAUCCAGCAAUGCCGCGUGCAGGACGAAGGCCUUCGGGUUGUAAACUGCUUUUGUACGGAACGAAAAAGUCUUUUCUAAUAAAGAAGGCUCAUGACGGUACCGUAAGAAUAAGCACCGGCUAACUACGUGCCAGCAGCCGCGGUAAUACGUAGGGUGCAAGCGUUAAUCGGAAUUACUGGGCGUAAAGCGUGCGCAGGCGGUUAUAUAAGACAGAUGUGAAAUCCCCGGGCUCAACCUGGGACCUGCAUUUGUGACUGUAUAGCUAGAGUACGGUAGAGGGGGAUGGAAUUCCGCGUGUAGCAGUGAAAUGCGUAGAUAUGCGGAGGAACACCGAUGGCGAAGGCAAUCCCCUGGACCUGUACUGACGCUCAUGCACGAAAGCGUGGGGAGCAAACAGGAUUAGAUACCCAGGUAGUC
rnacentral:rRNA from 1 species